UACGUAGGGUGCAAGCGUUGUCCGGAAUUAUUGGGCGUAAAGAGCUCGUAGGCGGUCUGUCGCGUCGGCUGUGAAAACCCAGGGCUCAACCCUGGGCCUGCAGUCGAUACGGGCAGACUAGAGUCCGGCAGGGGAGACUGGAAUUCCUGGUGUAGCGGUGAAAUGCGCAGAUAUCAGGAGGAACACCGGUGGCGAAGGCGGGUCUCUGGGCCGAUACUGACGCUGAGGAGCGAAAGCGUGGGGAGCGAACAGG
rnacentral:rRNA from 1 species